AAGAAAUGAGAAUUGUGAAUUUGUGAUUUAUAAUAAAUAAUUUAUGUUGUAUGAGUUAUGAGUUAUAAUUUAUCAUUUAAAAGUUUUGAUUUUGAUUUGGAAAUUUAGGUUUAGGAAAUUAGGAGUAUGUGAAAAAAAUUAAUGGAGAAGAUGAUGGGCUCAAUUGAACCAUGUGUAUUAAACUUUAUUUUUAUAUGUAAAAAAUAUUCGUGUUAGUGCAUUUACAUAUUUGUUGAAGAAUUUUUAAUAUUAUUUAUGAAAUAUUAAUAAACGACAUAGUUACUACGAUCGUUGAUUGUUUCCGGUCAACGGUCAACCACCCUAGCUGACCUCCGAUCUUGAAUUCGCCAGUUAAAAAAAAAAAAGAAGCUUUUUUACAUGAAGGCUUAAGUACCUUUUAGAGGUUUGGUGCUAACAACUAGUUAGCAUGAAAGAAUGGAUUAAUAAAUUUCUCCAUUUCACUCAGUUACUCAGUUAGUACCCUUCAUUGGUGGUUGGAAAGUGAUCUUUGUGUUAGUUGGGGUAGAAUUUGAAAGGCUGGUCAGGUUCUACCCUUCCAAACAAACAAGGUCGAUUAGGUGACUGAGGGCCUUUAUUGAGAGUCGUGACAAUGAAAAGAUGUUGCAACAAUUAAAUGAAUCCCAAGAUCAGCUAUGAGCUUGUAUGACCAAAUCACUUUACUCGUGGCUAUAGACAUUGCCCAGUAUAUACUAUGUCUCUGCACUGAACUUGAGUUAUAAUUGAAGUGUUCAAUCUACUUAAUUUACAUCUUCCAGUAAAUUUAGUCAAUCGAUUGUAAUAAAAUAAUAAUAAUAAUAAUGUGCA
rnacentral:lncRNA from 1 species